AACGAACGCUAGCGGCAUGCCUCAAACAUGCAAGUCGUACGCGAAAGGGGCUUCGGCCCCGAGUAGAGUGGCGCACGGGUGAGUAACACGUAACUAACGUACCCUUUCGCUGGGGAUAACUCCGGGAAACCGGAGCUAAUACCGAAUGAUCUGACACGGUCUGCGGACUGUGUCGGUAAAGCCGUAAGGCGCGAGAGGAUCGGGUUGCGGUCCAUUAGCUAGUUGGCGGGGUAAUGGCCCACCAAGGCGACGAUGGAUAGCUGGUCUGAGAGGAUGAUCAGCCACACUGGAACUGACACACGGUCCAGACUCCCACGGGAGGCAGCAGUUGGGAAUAUUGGACAAUGGGCGAAAGCCUGAUCCAGCAAUGCCGCGUGAGUGAUGAAGGCCCUCGGGUCGUAAAGCUCUUUCAGCAGGGAAGAAGAUCUGACGGUACCUGCAGAAGAAGCACCGGCUAACUCUGUGCCAGCAGCCGCGGUAAUACAGAGGGUGCAAGCGUUGUUCGGAAUCAUUGGGCGUAAAGCGCGUGUAGGCGGCCAUCUAAGUCUGGUGUGAAAGCCCAGGGCUUAACCCUGGAAGUGCACUGGAUA
rnacentral:rRNA from 1 species